rnacentral:rRNA from 1 species
AAUCAACGCUGGCGGCGUGCCUCAGACAUGCAAGUCGAACGCGAAAUCCCGAGCAAUCGGGAAAGUAGAGUGGCGCACGGGUGAGUAACACGUAGGUAAUCUACCUUCGGAUGGGGAAUAACAAUCGGAAACGGUUGCUAAUACCGCAUAAUGCAGCGGCACCUAAUGGUGACAGUUGUUAAAGCGGGGGAUCGCAAGACCUCGCGUCUGAGGAGGAGCCUGCGGCGGAUUAGCUUGUUGGUAAGGUAACGGCUUACCAAGGCGACGAUCCGUAGCCGGCCUGAGAGGGCGGUCGGCCACACUGACACUGACAUACGGGUCAGACUCCUACGGGAGGCAGCAGUCGGGAAUUUUGGGCAAUGGGCGAAAGCCUGAUCCAGCCAUGCCGCGUGAGUGAUGAAGG